rnacentral:rRNA from 1 species
UGUGCUGGCUGUCGUCAGCUCGUGUCGUGAGAUGUUGGGUUAAGUCCCGCAACGAGCGCAACCCUCAUCCUUAGUUGCCAUCAGGUAAUGCUGAGCACUUUAAGGAAACUGCCGGUGAUAAGCUGGAGGAAGAUGGGGAUGAUGUCAAGUCAUCAUGGCCUUUAUGAAGUGGGCUACACACGUGCUACAAUGGUGUCUACAAUGGGCUGCAAGGUGCGCAAGCCUAAGCUAAUCCCUAAAAGACAUCUCAGUUCGGAUUGUACUCUGCAACUCGAGUGCAUGAAGUUGGAAUCGCUAGUAAUCGUGGAUCAGCAUGCCACGGUGAAUACGUUCUCGGGUCUUGUACACACUGCCCGUCACGCCAUGGGAAUUGACACGCAGC